rnacentral:tRNA from 1 species
UGCGGGAUGGAGCAGUCUGGUAGCUCGUCGGGCUCAUAACCCGAAGGUCGUUGGUUCGAAUCCAGCUCCCGCUUCCA